CACUGAUACUGUGAAAGAGCUGCUGAAUAAAGCCGUGUCUCAUCUACCUGCUGUCUCCCAAGUGUUCUUCCAGCUCCCUGCCCCUCAUCAACCCACUCUCCUCAGACCUCAGCUGGGGCUUGAACCUGAUAAUUGGUGUAGUCAUCAGGAUGAGCUGUACCCUUCAUCACGAAUUUGAUGGACUGCUUGACAAUGGAACUGGAAGAGUACCACUUUGUGGUGGACUUAGCUAAUGCAGUCUUCUCCAUUGACAUUGCUCCAGAGAGCCAGGAGAAGUUUGUCUUCACGUGGGAAGGAUGACAAUGGACUUUCACCAUGCUGCCACAGGGCUGUGUGCAUAGCCCCACCAUUUGUCCUGGUCUUGUUGCCAUGGAUUUAGCUGCCUGGAAAUGCCCAAAAGGGGUCUGCCUGUUUCAUUACAUUGAUGAUAUGUUAACCUCUGAUUCUCUCACAGAUUUAGAAGUGGUGGUGCCCCUCUUGUGACAGCAUUUGGCAGUGUGCAGUUGGGCCAUCAAUAAAUCCAAGGUCCAAGGGCCGGAAUUGUCUGCCAAAUUCUUGGGAGUUAUUUGCUCAGGUUGGACCUGGUGCUUCAAAUCUUGAAAAUGUGGCCAUGGAAAGGUGGCCCGGCCCCGGUGGAGGCACUGUUACACCAGGCCACUGCCCCCAUCCAACUACAGAUACACACCAAGGAUGACCUCCUCUGACCAGCCACAGGUUGGCAUGCUCCAACAACAUUGUGGACUGGGCUCACACCUAUGCUGAGGUGGCCAAUGUCUCCAACUGUUAGAUCUGCACCACCCUUCCAGCAGCAGCUGUGGAUGGCUUGCCUUGGCAUGUGCAUCCAGCUUUUGUGAAGAACUGGACAUGGCUAGAAACUUGGGGUCCCACAGACAAUGGGCGGGAUGCAACAUGGUGAGCUUUGGAUGGGGGUGUCACAAAACCCAUGGCAAGCCUGCCCCCUGGCUGACUCAUAGCAUCCAUGAUGAAUGGGGCUGGCUAAUGGGAGAAAACAUGGUGGCCCCAUUGCAAGUACCACGAUGUAUAGAGCAACACUGGGGUAAGGUCACUGUGGGAUGGUUGCCUGCUGAGACCUGUGCAAACGUAACACAUGCCACCAUGCCAAGGAUGUGGUGGAACAAGCAGCCCUACCAAGGCUGGGCCCCCAUGGACUUUGUGCCUGCUGGGAGUUUAUAGGUCUGUGGGGACAUAGGAUGGCCAUAUCUGCCAGCCAACUAGACUGGACAUUGUACCUGGGAGUGGCCUUCUGUGCCUGCCACUGUGCUUCCCACAUUGCUUAGUCACACACAUAACUGGGAGGUGCUGUGUUCCCAGUUUUUGUGAGUGCAUUGAGCCCCUAGUGGUUCUACCCCUUAGCAAUAACUGUCCCUGGAACAGGUGUCAUCACUGUAGAAAUGCAGGUUACAGCCCUUGCAGAACACAGAGAUUGGGCCCAUGAAUUACACCUGAGCUGCCCUCCUUUUGUUAAUUGAUGAGUUUGAUCAGAUCAGGAAGGUGGUGAUGCAAAACCGGAUGGCCUUAGACAUAGUCACAGCUGCUCAAGGUGGCACCUGUGCCCUUGUAGGGACAGAGUGUUGUACAUUCAUCCCUGACAACCACCAGAACAUAGUGGCAGCUUUGCAGGGGGUGUCAUGUCAUAGGAGAUUAAGGCAAUUGAAUACCUUACUGAUGACCGCCUGCAGAGAUGGUGGGUGUCUCUGGGCUCUGGCCUACACUGGGCUCUUAUAAUCAUAGGUAGCAUAGCAGGAAUAUUAGUAGUAGGUUGUUGCUCUCUUUAUUGUUGCUGUGGCCUCUGGGUCCAGGGUGCUCCCCUAUGUGCACGAGUUCCCAUUAAGAGGACCCCCUUGGCCUAGGGGGCGGAGUGUAAGGAACAUGGCUGUGUUGCUGCCAGGCAGGCAUAGGCCGAGGUAAAAAUCCUGCAUGACACAGUGGGAUUAGAGCACACGCGCGCAAUCCUGUGCCUGAUAUAAUCACAGCUAGGUAGACAUAACACAGAGAAGCUCAUCAUUUGGCUCUCAGCCACUAUCAUUUGUGAGGUGUACAAAUGUAACACUGACACUGUGAAAGAGCUGCUGAAUAAAGCCAUGUCUCAUCUACCUGCUCUCUCUCGAGUGUUCUUCCAGCUCCCUGCCCCCCGCCCCAUCUACCCACACCCCUCUGACCUCAGCUGGGGCUUGAAACUGACAUUUGCUUUAUUGUACUUUGCAGAUACUUAAAAAAAAAACCAAAUUAAAGUUUUGUGGCAACCCUGUGUUGAGCAAGC
rnacentral:lncRNA from 1 species